rnacentral:rRNA from 1 species
UUCUGACUCAGGAUGAACGCUGGCGGCGUGCUUAACACAUGCAAGUCGAGCGAUGAAGCUUCUCGGAAGUGGAUUAGCGGCGGACGGGUGAGUAACACGUGGGUAACCUGCCUCAUAGAGGGGGAAUAGCCUUCCGAAAGGAAGAUUAAUACCGCAUAAGAUUGUAAUAUUGCAUGAUAUAGCAAUUAAAGGAGUAAUCCGCUAUGAGAUGGACCCGCGUCGCAUUAGCUAGUUGGUGAGGUAACGGCUCACCAAGGCGACGAUGCGUAGCCGACCUGAGAGGGUGAUCGGCCACAUUGGGACUGAGACACGGCCCAGACUCCUACGGGAGGCAGCAGUGGGGAAUAUUGCACAAUGGGGGAAACCCUGAUGCAGCAAACCGCCGCGUGAGUGAUGACGGUCUUCGGAUUGUAAAGCUCUGUCUUCAGGGACGAUAAUGACGGUACCUGAGGAGGAAGCCACGGCUAACUACGUGCCAGCAGCUGC